rnacentral:RNase_P_RNA from 1 species
GGCAGAGGGAGACCGGUUCCCGUGUCCCGGCCCGCAGUUCGCGGAAGGGACGUGAGGAAAGUCCCCCCACCGUCAGGGCAGGUGACCGGGCGCAAGCCCGGGGCGGGAGACCGUCGGCGCUGGAACAGAAACGAGACCCCUCUCCCCGACCGAUGAGGUGUGCGAACCCCGAGCGAGAAAGGACACGACAAAGCGAGGGGGAGUUAACCCACCGAGGGCGUGACUUUAGCCACGCAGGGGAGAGAACGGAUGGAACGGCGAACCCUCACCGGUGCAAGUCCGGACCGCAAGGUAGCCCUGACACCACGGUUCGGUCGCUCAGCUGAAUGCCGGUCGAACAGAAGGGGGCUUACUCCCCUCAGCC